AUUGAACGCUGGCGGCAUGCUUUACACAUGCAAGUCGAACGGUAACAGGCCGCAAGGUGCUGACGAGUGGCGAACGGGUGAGUAAUGCAUCGGAACGUGCCCAGUCGUGGGGGAUAACGCAGCGAAAGCUGUGCUAAUACCGCAUACGAUCUGUGGAUGAAAGCGGGGGACCUUCGGGCCUCGCGCGAUUGGAGCGGCCGAUGUCAGAUUAGGUAGUUGGUGGGGUAAAGGCUCACCAAGCCAACGAUCUGUAGCUGGUCUGAGAGGACGACCAGCCACACUGGGACUGAGACACGGCCCAGACUCCUACGGGAGGCAGCAGUGGGGAAUUUUGGACAAUGGGCGCAAGCCUGAUCCAGCAAUGCCGCGUGCAGGAAGAAGGCCUUCGGGUUGUAAACUGCUUUUGUACGGAGCGAAAAGGCUCUCUCUAAUACAGGGGGCUCAUGACGGUACCGUAAGAAUAAGCACCGGCUAACUACGUGCCAGCCGCCGCAGUAACAC
rnacentral:rRNA from 1 species